UGGGGAAUAUUGCAGCAAUGGCGGAAGCCUGAUGCAGCAACGCCGCGUGAGUGAUGAAGGCCAUUCGGGUUGUAAAGCUCAUGUCUUUUGGGACGAUAAUGACGGUACCAAAGGAGGAAGCACGGCUAACUACGUGCCAGCAGCCGCGGUAAUACGUAGGUGGCAAGCGUUGUCCGGAUUUACUGGGCGUAAAGGAUGCGUAGGCGGAUUUUAAGUGAGAUGUGAAAUACCCGGGCUUAACUUGGGUGCUGCAUUUCAAACUGGGAAUCUAGAGUGCGGGAGAGGAGAAUGGAAUUCCUAGUGUAGCGGUGAAAUGCGAUAGAGAUUAGGAAGAACACCAGUGGCGAAGGCGAUUCUCUGGACCGUAACUGACGCUGAGGCAUGAAAAGCGUGGGUA
rnacentral:rRNA from 1 species